AAAAAAGAAAUCAGUUGAAUUGAAUUCUUGCAAAUUUCUAGUUUCCAAACAGGCUGUAAAGGAACUAUGUGAGAAACUAAUUUUAUCACACAAAAGGGCUCAAAUUUCUAUUACAUAUUAGGCAAGAACAACAACACCUGAAAAUUCCCAAAUAAAGCUCUGAGAGGAUUACUAAGAGAAACUAACAAAAUGCAGAAAAAGUCAUAUUUCACAAUCCUACAAGUGGUGGCAAAGCUUAAAACAAAGAAGGGCAUUGAAAAUAUAAUAAAAAUGUUAAACACACCCCUCCAGCUUCAUCUUUGGGU
rnacentral:misc_RNA from 1 species